UUUGAUGUCAAAUGAUACUUGGAAAAUGGCGUUCAAGUGGUGUGCAUCUGAAACUGCAUCCGUUGAUGAGAGACUUGCUUCCAGCGUCCUGACCUGAGGGAAGAAGAUAUGGCUGGAUCCCAAUGAGAUUGCAAACUCCUACAGAAAGUGGGAUGGAAGAUGGAUAAAUUCUGUUGCAAGYCUCCCUUGAUAUUUGGUCCCUGCUGCCUGAUGGAAAUCUACUUGGCUGCCAUUGUGGCAAAGCGAGUUCUGCUGGAUGAGUGAAGGCCUAUUUAUUUCCAAUUAAUACCCAUCUUUUGACUGAUCAAGGAGUACAUCAUCACUUGAGGUUUGCAAUGUUGAGGUAUUCCCCUGCCGAGACUACAGAUGACACCAGGAUCACUUGAGGACAUUGACAGGACUUGAGGGUGAUGCCGACGCUUGUUGAAGAGCUUCAGUCAUGAAACGGCCUGCUAGCCAGGAGGCAUUUCAAUGUGUAUUUCAAUGUGUGGACUGUAUCCAUGGCUGUAUUUUGUGCCAAUGACGACUUUGGGGGAUCAGAUCAAAGUUAAUUUGUCAAGUAAUGUUGGUGGRGUUCCUCUUGGCGUUGUCUUUGGACUCCCUCCUACUACAGUUCCCCAAGUAAAGUACUUUGACAACUACUGAUGUAAAAAAAAAAAAUGCUUUGGAUAAUGAAUUUUAAAAUGCCACCAAUAAAAAGUAAUUUGUGAUUGCAGUAUUUGAAUAAAGAAUGAAUGGUCA